GACGGGUGGGGCUAGCGUUGUUCGGAAUUACUGGGCGUAAAGGGCGCGUAGGCGGCCAAUUAAGUUAGACGUGAAAGCCUCAGGCUUAACCUGAGAAUUGCGUUUAAUACUGGUUGGCUAGAGUUUGGUAGAGGAAAGCGGAAUUCCUAGUGUAGAGGUGAAAUUCGUAGAUAUUAGGAAGAACACCAGAGGCGAAGGCGGCUGUCUGGACCAAUACUGACGCUGAGGCGCGAAAGCGUGGGGAGCAAACAGG
rnacentral:rRNA from 1 species